rnacentral:rRNA from 1 species
AUUGAACGCUGGCGGAAUGCUUUACACAUGCAAGUCGGGCGGCAGCACGGGGGCAACCCUGGUGGCGAGCGGCGAACGGGUGAGUAAUACAUCGGAACGUACCCUGUCGUGGGGGAUAACGAAUCGAAAGAUUCGCUAAUACCGCAUACGACCUGAGGGUGAAAGCGGGGGAUCGCAAGACCUCGCGCGAUAGGAGCGGCCGAUGUCGGAUUAGCUAGUUGGUAGGGUAAAGGCCCACCAAGGCGACGAUCUGUAGCUGGUCUGAGAGGACGGCCAGCCACACUGGCACUGACACACGGGCCAGACUCCUACGGGAGGCAGCAGUCGGGAAUUUUGGGCAAUGGGCGAAAGCCUGACCCAGCAACGCCGCGUGAAGGAUGAAGUAUUUCGGUAUGUAAACUUCGAAAGAAUAGGAAGAAUAAAUGACGGUACUAUUUAUAAGGUCCGGCUAACUACGUGCCAGCAGCCGCGGUAAGUCUCGCGUGA